rnacentral:rRNA from 1 species
UACGUAGGGCGCAAGCGUUGUCCGGAAUUAUUGGGCGUAAAGAGCUCGUAGGCGGCUUGUCACGUCGGCUGUGAAAACCCGGGGCUCAACCCCGGGCCUGCAGUCGAUACGGGCAGGCUAGAGUUCGGUAAGGGAGACUGGAAUUCCCGGUGUAGCGGUGAAAUGCGCAGAUAUCGGGAGGAACACCGGUGGCGAAGGCGGGUCUCUGGGCCGAAACUGACGCUGAGGAGCGAAAGCGUGGGGAGCAAACAGG